rnacentral:rRNA from 1 species
CAAUAGCGUAUAUUAAAGUUGUUGCAGUUAAAAAGCUCGUAGUUGGAUUUGUGGCGUACGGUGUGUUCCGGGCACUUGUUGUCUGAGUAACCUGCUGUUGCCAUCUUUGGGUGGAACCUGUGUGGCAUUAGGUUGUCGUGCAGGGGAUGCCCAUCAUUUACUGUGAAAAAAUUAGAGUGUUCAAAGCAGGCUUAUGCCGUUGAAUAUAUUAGCAUGGAAUAAUGAGAUAGGACUUUUUUGCUAUUUUGUUGGUUUGCGCAAAGAGGUAAUGAUUAAUAGGGACAGUUGGGGGUAUUCGUAUUCCAUUGUCAGAGGUGAAAUUCUUGGAUUUUUGGAAGACGAACUACUGCGAAAGCAUUUACCAAGGAUGUUUUCAUUAA